UACGUAGGUCCCGAGCGUUGUCCGGAUUUAUUGGGCGUAAAGCGAGCGCAGGUGGUUUAUUAAGUCUGGUGUAAAAGGCAGUGGCUCAACCAUUGUAUGCAUUGGAAACUAGUAGACUUGAGUGCAGGAGAGGAGAGUGGAAUUCCAUGUGUAGCGGUGAAAUGCGUAGAUAUAUGGAGGAACACCGGUUGCGAAGGCGGCUCUCUGGACUGUAACUGACACUGAGGCACGAAAGCGUGGGGAGCAAACAGG
rnacentral:rRNA from 1 species